CGCAGUCCAUCGCCUGGAGGGUGAGAACCCCCGAUGGGUUCGAGUCGAGUGCAGCGAGACAACGUUGCCGCAGGCAACGGCCCGCAGGGUGAGGCGAAGCCGAAUAAUCCCUCCAGGCGCGCCA
rnacentral:sRNA from 1 species